GGCUCAGGAUGAACGCUAGCGGCAGGCUUAAUACAUGCAAGUCGUGGGGCAGCAUGAGUAGCAAUACUUGAUGGCGACCGGGCAAACGGGUGAGGAACACGUACACAACCUUCCUUCAAGCGGGGAAUAGCCCAGAGAAAUUUGGAUUAAUACCCCAUAAUAUAUUUGAUAAGGCAUCCUUAUUAAAUAUUAAAGCUUCGGCACUUGAUGAUGGGUGUGCGGCUGAUUAGAUAGUUGGCGGGGUAACGGCCCACCAAGUCUACGAUCAGUAGCUGAUGUGAGAGCAUGAUCAGCCACACGGGCACUGAGACACGGGCCCGACUCCUACGGGAGGCAGCAGUAAGGAAUAUUGGACAAUGGACGAAAGUCUGAUCCAGCCAUGCCGCGUGAAGGAUUAAGGUCCUCUGGAUUGUAAACUUCUUUUAUAUGGGACGAAAAAGGGCAUUCUUGUUCACUUGACGGUACCAUAUGAAUAAGCACCGGCUAACUCCGUG
rnacentral:rRNA from 1 species